rnacentral:rRNA from 1 species
UACGUAGGGUGCGAGCGUUGUCCGGAAUUAUUGGGCGUAAAGAGCUCGUAGGCGGCUUGUUGCGUCGGAUGUGAAAGCCCGGGGCUUAACUCCGGGUCUGCAUUCGAUACGGGCAGGCUAGAGUUCGGUAGGGGAGAUCGGAAUUCCUGGUGUAGCGGUGAAAUGCGCAGAUAUCAGGAAGAACACCCGUGGCGAAGGCGGUUCUCUGGGACGGUACUGACGCUGAGACGCGAAAGCGUGGGGAGCGAACAGG